CAGUCGAGCGUGAUUAAGUGGAGUGGAGACUUCGGUCAAAGUGAAGCUUAUGAAAGCGGCGGACGGGUGAGUAACGCGUGGGUAACCUGCCCCAUACAAAGGGAUAGCCACUGGAAACGGUGAUUAAUACCUUAUAAGUCGGUAGUCUCGCAUGAGACAGUCGACAAAGAUUUAUCGGUAUGGGAUGGACCCGCGUCUGAUUAGCUAGUUGGUGAGGUAACGGCUCACCAAGGCGACGAUCAGUAGCCGACCUGAGAGGGUGAUCGGCCACACUGGAACUGAGACACGGUCCAGACUCCUACGGGAGGCAGCAGUGGGGAAUAUUGCACAAUGGGCGCAAGCCUGAUGCAGCAACGCCGCGUGAGUGAAGAAGGCUUUCGGGUCGUAAAACUCUGUCCUAUGGGAAGAAAAAAAUGACGGUACCAUAGGAGGAAGCCCCGGCUAACUACGUGCCAGCAGCCGCGGUAAUACGUAGGGGGCAAGCGUUAUCCGGAAUCACUGGGCAUAAAGGGUGCGUAGGUGGCUUAUCAAGCCAGGGGUGAAAGGCAUUGGCUCAACCAAUGUAAGCCUUUGGAACUGAUAGGCUUGAGUGCAGGAGAGGUAAGUGGAAUUCCUAGUGUAGAGGUGAAAUUCGUAGAUAUUAGGAGGAACACCAGUGGCGAAGGCGACUUACUGGACUGUAACUGACACUGAGGCACGAAAGCGUGGGUAGCGAACAGGAUUAGAUACCCUGGUAGUCCACGCCGU
rnacentral:rRNA from 1 species